rnacentral:rRNA from 1 species
GUCGAGAAUCUUUCACAAUGGGGGCAACCCUGAUGGAGCGACGCCGCGUGGAGGAUAAGGUCUUCGGAUUGUAAACUCCUGUCAUGCGUGAACAAGGUUGCUUGGAUAAUACCUGAGCAAAUUGAUGGUAGCGCAAGAGGAAGAGACGGCUAACUCUGUGCCAGCAGCCGCGGUAAUACAGAGGUCUCAAGCGUUGUUCGGAAUCACUGGGCGUAAAGGGUGCGUAGGUGGCGUGGCAAGUCAGAUGUGAAAGCCCGGGGCUCAACCUCGGAACUGCAUCCGAUACUGCCAUGCUAGAGUACUGGAGGGGUGACUAGAAUUCUCAGUGUAGCAGUGAAAUGCGUAGAUAUCGAGAGGAAUACCAAAGGCGUAGGCAGGUCACUGGACAGUUACUGACACUGAGGCACGAAGGCCAGGGGAGCGAACGGGAUUAGAUACCCUUGUAGUCC